AAAUUUAAUAGCCGCAAGACGUGCUAAGGUAGCAUAAUCAUUUGCCUUUUAAUUGAAGGCUAGAACAAAAGAUUAAACAUUAUAACUAUUUUCUUAAAAAAAAAUAUUAAACUUUUCCUAAAUGUAAAAAGACAUUUAUAAUAUAGAUAGACGAUAAGACCCUAUUGAACUUAACUUUAGUUAAACUGGGGAAGUAUAUUAAUUAAUAUUUUAAUCUUAAUAUAUCUCAACAAAUCUAUUUUAAUUAAUUAAAUCAGUUACCAUAGGGAUAACAGCGUAAUUCACUUUACAAGUUCUUAUAAAAAUAUGAGAUUACGACCUCGAUGUUGAAUUAAUUUCCUAAAUUUCGCAAAAGAAAACAAAGGUGGUCUGUUCGACCAUUAAAUAAUUACGUGAUCUGAGUUAGAACCGGAGACAAUUAGGGGGUUUAGGACCUCGAUGUUGGAUCAGGACAUCCCGAUGGUGCAGCCGCUAUUAAAGGUUCGUUUGUUCAACGAUUAAAGUCCUACGUGAUCUGAGUUCAGACCGGAGA
rnacentral:rRNA from 1 species